AUGCCUCUAUUUGACAGGCCUGGAGUAUUUACUCUCUGCUGAGGUUUCCACUAAAUACAGAUGCGAGAAAAAUAUGUCCUCGAGCUUUCUGUCCGUCUUGCUGUGGCAGCCCAGAUUGAAUGUGAGAAUGCUUGG
ensembl:snoRNA